rnacentral:rRNA from 1 species
AGAGCGAACGCUGGCGGCAGGCCUAACACAUGCAAGUCGAACGGACUCUUCGGGGUUAGUGGCGGACGGGUGAGUAACACGUGGGAACGUGCCUUUAGGUUCGGAAUAGCUCCUGGAAACGGGUGGUAAUGCCGAAUGUGCCCUUCGGGGGAAAGAUUUAUCGCCUUUAGAGCGGCCCGCGUCUGAUUAGCUAGUUGGUGAGGUAAAGGCUCACCAAGGCUACGAUCAGUAGCUGGUCUGAGAGGAUGACCAGCCACAUUGGGACUGAGACACGGCCCAAACUCCUACGGGAGGCAGCAGUGGGGAAUCUUGCGCAAUGGGCGAAAGCCUGACGCAGCCAUGCGCGUGAAUGAUGAAGGUCUUAGGAUUGUAAAAUUCUUUCAGUAGGGACGAUAAUGACGGUACUACAGAAGAAGCCCCGGCUAACUUCGUGCCAGCAGCCGC